rnacentral:lncRNA from 1 species
AUCUUAUUUGAAGAAAAAAAAUAUUCAUAGUAAUGUGAUGGACUUCAUUGAUACCAAACAUAUUGCAAAAGUAGAAUGGUAACAACAUACAUCAAUUACUAUAAGAUUACACAAACAGAAAGUAUUAUAAAACACUGACUUUUUGAUCAAAUGCGGGACAUGCACGAUAAAUUAAAAGCACCGACACGAAACACGGAAAAUAAAUAAGGGG